UACGGAGGGAGCUAGCGUUGUUCGGAAUUACUGGGCGUAAAGCGCACGUAGGCGGCUUUGUAAGUUAGAGGUGAAAGCCCGGGGCUCAACCCCGGAAUUGCCUUUAAGACUGCAUCGCUUGAAUCCGGGAGAGGUGAGUGGAAUUCCCAGUGUAGAGGUGAAAUUCGUAGAUAUUGGGAAGAACACCGGUGGGCGAAGGCGGCUC
rnacentral:rRNA from 1 species